AUUUUAGCAUUUUGCUAUUGAUUCUCAUUUCCCCCAGAAUGCAUUGCAUUACACGUUGGGGAGACAGUAGACACGGACCAAAGCCGCAUAAACCCUUGAGAGUAGAGACUGUUGUCUCCACAUCUCCAUCUGAGGCACCAUCCGAAUCCAGGCAGAAAUCUCAAGAGUUCUAAAGUAACAGGGGCUACCGAGGAAACGUGGGAAAACAUCCAGGACUGUGAAGGAGUUUUCCUGGUCUUGAACCAGUGUCUGGCGGUAUUGAAAUGUUGCCCUCAUCUUCUCUUUCGACAAUUGUUGCAUCAGUCGUGUGCUUCAAUAAAGAGAUCGCCUCGCGGCAUUCCUCACCAAACAGUUGCUUGUCAGUUAGGAGACAAUCCCCCUUGCUCUUUGGACCAUCUUG
ensembl:lncRNA